rnacentral:rRNA from 1 species
GGAUUGCCUUAGUAACGGCGAGUGAAGCGGCAAAAGCUCAAAUUUGAAAUCUGGCACCUUCGGUGUCCGAGUUGUAAUUUGAAGAAGGUAACUUUGGAGUUGGCUCUUGUCUAUGUUCCUUGGAACAGGACGUCACAGAGGGUGAGAAUCCCGUGCGAUGAGAUGCCCAAUUCUAUGUAAAGUGCUUUCGAAGAGUCGAGUUGUUUGGGAAUGCAGCUCUAAGUGGGUGGUAAAUUCCAUCUAAAGCUAAAUAUUGGCGAGAGACCGAUAGCGAACAAGUACAGUGAUGGAAAGAUGAAAAGAACUUUGAAAAGAGAGUGAAAAAGUACGUGAAAUUGUUGAAAGGGAAGGGCUUGAGAUCAGACUUGGUAUUUUGCGAUCCUUUCCUUCUUGGUUGGGUUCCUCGCAGCUUACUGGGCCAGCAUCGGUUUGGAUGGUAGGAUAAUGACUAAGGAAUGUGGCUCUACUUCGGUGGAGUGUUAUAGCCUUGGUUGAUACUGCCUGUCUAGACCGAGGACUGCGUCUUUUGACUAGGAUGUUGGCAUAAUG